CUGGUGCCCAUAGCGGAGGGGAAACACCCGGUCCCAUUCCGAACCCGGAAGUUAAGCCCUCCAGCGCCGAAGAUACUCACGAGGGAACUCGUGGGGAAAAUAGGUCGGUGCCAGGA
rnacentral:rRNA from 1 species